AUUGAACGCUGGCGGCAGGCCUAACACAUGCAAGUCGAACGAGUGGCGGACGGGUGCGAAAUGUAUGGGAAUCUGCCUGAUGGAGGGGGAUAACUACUGGAAAAGGUAUCUAAUACCGCAUACCGACAUAUGAGCCCAGAUGGGAUUAGCGUGUAGGUGGGGUAAAGGGUCACCUAGGCGACGAUCCCUAGCUGGUCUGAGAGGAUGACCAGCCACACUGGAACUGAGACACGGUCCAGACUCCUACGGGAGGCAGCAGUGGGGAAUAUUGCACAAUGGGCGCAAGCCUGAUGCAGCCAUGCCGCGUGUAUGAAGAAGGCCUUCGGGUUGUAAAGUACUUUCAGCUGGGAGGCGUUACCCGCAGAAGAAGCACCGGCUAACUCCGUGCCAGCAGCCGCGGUAAUAC
rnacentral:rRNA from 1 species